rnacentral:misc_RNA from 1 species
GAUGAAGAACGUAGCAAAAUGCGAUAAGUAAUGUGAAUUGCAGAAUUCAGUGAACCAUCGAAUCUUUGAACGCACAUUGCGCCCGCUGGUAUUCCGGCGGGCAUGCCUGUUCGAGCGUCAUUUCAACCCUCAAGCCCCCGGGUUUGGUGUUGGGGAUCGGCUCUGCCCUUCUGGGCGGUGCCGCCCCCGAAAUACAUUGGCGGUCUCGCUGCAGCCUCCAUUGCGUAGUAGCUAACACCUCGCAACUGGAACGCGGCGCGGCCAUGCCAUAAAACCCCAACUUCUGAAUGUUGACCUCGGAUCAGGUAGGAAUACCCGCUGAACUUAAGCAUAUCAAUAAGCGGAGGA